CCUUUUAGGCUACUCUUGCUGAAUGUCCCAGGAAUUUCUCCCAGAGCUUUGCUUGGCCUGGAUAUGGCUGUUUGGGAGGUUUCCUGUUUUCCCUGGGUAGUGUCAUGAGGCUUUCGCUGAUAACAUCGCUGUUUUUCUCGAAUGGUCUCCGAGGAGAAUGCGGUAGCCGCUUUGAAAACCUCAAACGUCGUAUCGGAUCUACAACAAAGAACAGGGACUUCAGGGGUUGACAGCACGGCCAUAAUUAAAGACGACCAUCAAUAAGCUGCCAUGUUAAA